GGAGCCUUGGCGCAAUUGGUAGCGCGUGCGAUUCCAGCCCCUGAGCCUCUGGACGAAGGAUCCCUUCAUCUCAAGGACUUCCUCUCUCAUCCAAGCCGUGGUGAUUCCGCAAGGUCGUCCGUUCGAAUCGGGCAGGCUUCA